CUGUGAGAGAGCGCGAGAAAACCCUUCUCGGGAUAACACUUAUUUUUGGCCUUCAUGUGACACCACUUUGGUUUCUAUGGAACUCCUAUGAAAUACUCACACACACAGAACAAUGUUUAUUUAGACAUUACAUGCACUUCACUUAACCAUAAACACUGACCUAAACAUCAAUUUUGCGCCACGUACAUUAACAGGGUAUUGCAAAAGACUCAUAUUUCAUAUUUGCCCCAAAAAAAGAAAAAAAAAUCACAUACGUGUCAAAAUAUCCUGUUCCUUCUCCUUACUAUUUAUUUGCCCUUUUCUCUGUAUCUUUCUUUUCGUAUCCCCUCUCCUCUCCUCCACUUCCUUCCUCGCCUCUUGCACCUGCGGAUGCUAUUAGCAAACAAAUAUAAAGUUAAUCCAGUGGCCUAAUCUCUUGCGUUCCACGCCCAGUCCUAUUUUCUACCGGUGUUUGAGGCCAGGAUUAAACAAUCUUUUUUUACUUUCUCUAUCGCAGCAUUUUUCAGGAGAACAUACCUACGGCUAAGUGCUGUUCACACCAUUCCAUAAAGCGUGUGUGUGUGUGUGUGUGUGUGUGUGUGUGUGUGUGUGUUACUACGAAGGCCUCCAGGGGCUCCAAGGCACUGUGAGGAUGCAGACACCAGGAACAGUGGUGCAGGAUGCUGCUUGUGCCGUAAUGGAGAGUUAUACAGUCAUUUUUGGGGAUUUUAGAGGCAAGAGUGUGAAGCUGUUGGGGCGGAAUUGGUUCGGGAUGCAAAAAGGUUAAGGGAAUUUCCUCAAUGGCAAGAAAAGGGUCGGUUUAUUGCCUCAAAUUGCUCAUGCAGGUUGGAAAUGAGUGAUUUCACAAUGUUGUGCAGGAAGUUCCUAGUGGCAGGCGGCCAAAUGCUGCUUUAAACCCCCUUCUCUGCAAUCUGAAGAUGGGUUUGCGCACAAGCCUGUGCACACCUGCCGGUGCCUAAACGCCCACACCCCCCCCCCCCCACACACACACACACACACCCACAUCGGCCGUAUUCACCGCUCCCUGGACGAGUUCACUGAUGGGGACGGAAGGAAAAUGUCAUUUUUAGCCUGAUGCCCUUUUAUGAAACCCGUAAAUCUCUGCAGCGCCGCCAGCAGGCCCAGAGGGGGUCGUUACACGGCAGAAAAUCAUAACUCUCACAUAUAACAUGCACUGUUUUGGGAUUACGUUUGUGAUCAGCCCACGGUGCCACACAGUGCAGUAGCCCCCGACUGACUAUGAGCAGCACUUUCUGGAUGUGCAAAAAGCAAAAGCUCCCCCCUUGUGAACAACAGUUUGUAAUGCUUCAUGAUUCAAAGGGAUGUGAAGUCACUUUAUUUACACAGCCCAAGAUCCCAAAUCAUAAACGUGCUUCAAGCGGUGUUACAAUCUGUGCAGCACACACUGUGCUCACACACUGAAUGCUGAGCAGGCCUCCAGUACGGAUAUUUGCAUGUCAGGUAAAAUGGGUCUGGGAACUAUUUCUCAAGCUGUCUCCAAUGAGACACACACACACACACACACACACACACAACACAGACUUUCAUUUCCAUCUUUCCCUAAAAAGGAAACUGUUCAACCCAGAAUACACUCAAGCAUUACAUUACAUGUCCACACAGCUGCGCUGCGAAUUCAAAAACUUCAAGAAACACACUUCUGCUUCGCAGAUGAACAGAUGCAGGAAGGCACAUAACCGAUGCUGUCUGUGUGUGUGGCAGAAACCCAAAAAACAACAAUAACGUGGAUUGCCAGAGCACCAUUUGAAGUUGAAAAGGUUUAAACUGUCCAGUCAGUCAUGGACUGGGUGAGCCUAACCAAGUUAGGUCACAGUACCAGGGCAUCAUGUAGAACCAAAUCAUGGGAGAUCCAUUUAAUAAAGAGAGGCAUUGACAUUAGCGCGUGAUACCCUGAAACCAAGAACCAAGGUGUGAGCCCUUCAAAUUUACACUAAAGCAGAAGGUCUUCGCAGUCCGUCAUGUUGGUACGUUGGACAAAGGCCAGCAUGGUUCACACAGCCAGCGGAAGAGUUCCAAACCGGUCCACGGUAUGGACGACCUCGGUUUUGCACUCAGCAGGAGUCAGAGAAGUGAGCCAAAGGGGUUGGUCGCAUUCUGCAACAACAUCACCAGACCGCACACCGGCCCUUUAAGAACACACUGAGUGCUCUUCAGGUCUUCAGAAGCAUGGCUGUCAGACUCCGGCCAAGGGUAUAGGGGGGUCCAGUGCGGCCCGCCGGAUGACUUUUGUGAGAAUUACAGAAAGACAUACAUUGCAUUCCUAUAGAAGUAGUUGCUAUUCCUAUCAGUCCACUGGGGGUUGUACUGAGUGAGUGAGCACAUGCAUUAGACCAGGGGGACCGGGUCGAUCACCAAGGCAGUGCCUGUAGAUUGCCUGCCAUUGGAAAAAAAAAUCCUUGCUUACUACAAGACUAAUACAGAGCCCCCCACGUCGCCCAGACCACAAACCGCCCCAUGCCCCAUCGACCGAAACAUCCGCAUAUGCAUCUGCAUAUGGUUUGUGUUAUGGGCAGUGGUACCCUGCCGGUUGUACGUUGGUCAUAGUGAGGGGGUAGAUUAAAGCCAAGUGACUAAAGGACGGUUUUGCUUUUACGUCAAACAGGGAAUAUGGGAAUACAAACGUAGUGACGGUGAAAGUUUCAAACCAAAUCACUUUUAAUAACCAAGGAUCUACCUGGAAAGGGAGCCGGCUCAAGGUCAAGAGACAUCCAAACGCUAUGGACUAGGUACAUCAUGGGCUAGGUACAUCAUGGGCUAGGUACAUCAUGGGCUAGGUACAUCAUGGACUAGGUACAUCAUGGGAUAGGUACAUCAUGGGCUAGGUACAUCAUGGGAUAGGUACAUCAUGGGCUAGGUACAUCAUGGGCUAGGUACAUCAUGGGCAAGGUACAUCAUGGGCUAGGUACAUCAUGGACUAGGUACAUCAUGGGCUAGGUACAUCAUGGGCUAGGUACAUCAUGGGCUAGGUACAUCAUGGGCUAGGUACAUCAUGGGCUAGGUACAUCAAGAAUACCAAAAGUCAAGGGACACAGCAGACAACCACAGUGGGGGAGAAAACACACCAGGGCGGGAAGUGAAGUUAACUCAGGGAAACAAGCGCCAGCAAAAUACAAAUUAAAGCGAGGACAAGCCAAGCACCGUAAUAUUGGCCAUGUUAGCGGUGAUAUGAUAAUGCACCAUGCUGCUAUCCGGACCCUUCAGUGUAAAUAAAGCCUCUGCUGUACACAUUAUAUUCCCCCUGGGUUAUUUCCUUUUUGUAAAGCUCCCGUGUUUGUUUUAAAUGUAGUUUUAUGUAAUUCCUCAGGUUCCAUUUUUUUGGUCUUUGUUUUAAUAAACCAUUAUUAUUAUAUUUUAUAUUUCUAUUUCUGCCUCUCUACACUGGUUCUUCCACAUGCCUUCUGCCACAUGACAAAGGUCAAAGUAAAUGAAACAAUCAGUGGGGAAAAACAAAAUCUAGUGCAAAAUAUUUUGUUAUCUUUUACCUUUAAUGAUCAUGUGACCUGGUACUGUCCUCAAUGGUGGUUGUGCACUCAUCUCAUCUCAUCUUUCCUUUCUGGUGGUUUGACGACGGUUAAUCCAGUCACAGGAGCUCGUAGCUGCAGCUCCUCUGGUAUAUACCACAGAAGACAUCCCUCAUAACCAUCUGCUUUCUCAGUCCAUUUGCGGUAGCUGCCACCAUAACCACACUAAUGGACAGGAUUAUGUUCCUCACAGGUCAUAGGGAAAGCCACAUAAUCUCUGGCCUACAAAUAGAAAACGUAUUUUAGCAGUAACUCUUUAUAUCUAAUGGAUCUCUGAAUGCCACAUCAAGUGGCAUUCGUUUCCACAAUAAACUAGAUGACAGAUAAACUAUUAUUUUUUAGAUUAUCAAUCCAUAAUUUAGAAAGGGUGGACAAUAAUAACAAAAACAUGAUAUAUUUGAUCUUAAUAACACAACAUGUCUGUAAUGUAGUGUUAACACUGUUACCUCCUCACUUACCACAUGCACCUUUAAACUUGAAGCAGCUGGAUAAAGGGUUUUACCAUCACAUUUAGUGGGAUCUUUUAAAGAGAACAUGCUUGGCUUUCAUCGGUGAACACAAAUCAGUUAACACUAGAACAACGGUCCUCUGCACUAUCACAUUUUGUUCAGCAUUGUGGCAACUAAGAAUCAUAAUCCCAAA
ensembl:lncRNA